UACGUCGAUAUUCGACGUCAUAAACACCAUCAAGUUUGGUGUUUAUGACGUCGAAUAUCGACGUCAUAAACACCAUCAAGUUUGGUGUUUAUGACGUCGAUAUGCGACGUCAUAAACACCAUCAAGUUUGGUGUUUAUGACGUCGAAUAUCGACGUCAUAAACACCAUCAAGUUUGGUGUUUAUGACGUCGAUAUUCGACGUCAUAAACACGUUCAACUUUGGUGUUUAUGACGUCGAUAUUCGACGUC
rnacentral:miRNA from 1 species